AUUGAACGCUGGCGGCAGGCCUAACACAUGCAAGUCGAGCGAGCGGCGGACGGGUGAGUAAUAUAUCGGAACGUGCCCAGUAGCGGGGGAUAACUACUCGAAAGAGUGGCUAAUACCGCAUACUAUUGGAGCGGCCGAUAUCGGAUUAACUAGUUGGUGGGGUAAAGGUGCACAAAGGCAACGAUCCGUAGCUGGUUUGAGAGGACGACCAGCCACACUGGGAAUGUACCGCGGCCCAGACUCCUACGGGAGGCAGCAGUGGGGAAUCUUGGGGAAUGAGGGAAACCCUGAUCGAGCCAUGCCGAGUGUAUGAGACGGCCGUCGGGUUGUAAAGUACUUUUGUCAGAAAAGCGGUAUCUGCAGAAGGAGCACCGGCUAACUACGUGCCAGCGGCCGCCGUAAUUC
rnacentral:rRNA from 1 species